rnacentral:rRNA from 1 species
AAAAAGAACCUGAAACCGUGUACGUACAAGCAGUGGGAGCACAGGUUUACCUGUGUGACUGCGUACCUUUUGUAUAAUGGGUCAGCGACUUAUAUUCUGUAGCAAGGUUAACCGAAUAGGGGAGCCGCAGGGAAACCGAGUCUUAAUUGGGCGUUAAGUUGCAGGGUAUAGACCCGAAACCCGGUGAUCUAGCCAUGGGCAGGUUGAAGGUUGGGUAACACUAACUGGAGGACCGAACCGACUAAUGUUGAAAAA